rnacentral:antisense_RNA from 1 species
UGUGGGAGCUGGCUUGCCUGCGGUGGCAUCACCUCGGUUUAACUGAAUGACCGAGUUGCUCGCAUCGCAGGCAAGCCAGCUCCCACC